rnacentral:snoRNA from 1 species
CUGGCCCUAAAUCAAGGCCAUCGGUUUGUCGUAGCCGCUGGUUUCAAGCAGGAGCCCAAAGGAAACUUCUCCCAGUCUGUUGGCUCUCCUGUCCGCGUGGAACAGCCAAUUCGUGUGGGAGGGACACAG